CUUAGUUAAUUCUACUAGUAGUUAUAUACUUAUCUUAAAGAUUAAGCUAUAUAUAUCUAAGUAUAAGUAAUUAUACUAUAAAACUACGAAUAGCUUAUUAAAUUAGUUAUUAUUUAUUUAAUAAUACUUUACUACUUAGAUAACUAUAGUAAUUCUAGAGCUAAUAUAUACUAAAAAUCCUAACUUUAGAAGAGAUAUAUUUAUUAAAUAAAAAACUAAUACCCUUUAGGGCUCUUUAGUAAUUUAUAAUAACUUUAUAAAUUAUAUAGCUUUACGCUAGUAAUAGUUUAUUUAAAUUUCUACCCUAUUAACUUUUAAUAGUAAGGUAUUAGCUUACUAUAGUUUUAAUAAGUAAUAGGGAAUUAGGGUUUAAUUCUAAAGAGGGAGCUUAAGAAACAGCUACUAUAUCUAAAGAAGGUAGUAAGCGCGUAAAUUACCUAAUCCUAAUAUAAGGAGGUAGUAAUAAUAAAUACUAAUAUAAGGCUCUUUUAAGUCUUAUAAUUAGAAUAAGUAUAAUUUAAACCUCUUAAUAAAGAAUAAUUAGAGGGUAAGUCUAGUACUAGUAGCUAUAGUAAUUCUAGCUCUAAUAGUGUAUAUUAAAGUUAUUAUAGUUAAAAAGCUUAUAGUUAAAACUUAGGUCUAGCUAGUAAGUCUACCUUACUACGUAUACUUAUUUAGCUAGACCUUCCUUUUAGUAAACUUUAUACUUUUUACUAAGCGUACUAGGGAACUAAGACUUUUACUUUAAAAAAAUUAGAGUAUUUAAAGUAAGCCUUUACUUAAAUAUAUUAGUAUAGAAUAAUAAAAUAGGGCGUAUAUUUCUAUUUUAUUAGUUUCUAGAGACGAUAUAAUAAUUAAUAGGAAUAGUUAGAGGUAUUAGUAUUUAGUUAUUAAAGGUAAAAUUCUUAGAUUUACUAAAGACUAACUACUAUAAAAGUAUUUACUAAGGAUAUUUUUAUUAAUUAGUAAAUAAAAGUUAGGGGAUUAAAGAUAAUUAAAUACUAUUAUAGUCUUAACUAUAAACUAUACUAACUAAGGAUUAGGUAAUAUUCUUUUUCUAACUUACUUAGUACUUUAUAAGAAAUUAAAGUUUUUAAGUUCUAGGGGGAUUAUAGUUAUAAGGCUAAAACUUAAAGAAAUUAAUAGAAGGUUACUACUAGGUGUAGAGCCUAUAGCUUAAUUUAACUUAAUAUAGAGAAACUUACUAGGUCUAGAUAAAAUAAGGAUUAAUAAAUUAAGAGCUCUUUUUUAAUUUUUUAAGUAGUAGUAUAUAGCUAUUCUUAGUUUAUAAGGUAACUUAUCUACUUAAUUAUAAUAAUAAGUAAGACCUUACUUUACUAAAUAGCUAGGCUAGCUUUAGCUAGUUACUAGCUUCUUAGAGAGACUAUUAACUUAAGUUAAUAGAAGUUUAAAGUAAUAAUAGGUCUAUAAUACUCUUAGAUAUUCUAAGCUAUACGCGCGCUAUACUAAUAGAGCUAAUAAGUUCUUUUCUUUAUUUAAAAGAAUUAGGUAAUCUUAUUAAACUCUAUUGUACUAGGGAUAAAGUAUUAUAAUUAUUACUUUUUAAUAAGGAAUACCUAGUAAGCGCGUAUUAUUAGUAUAUAUUAAUUACGUCCCUAACCUUUAUAUAUACUACCUAUUACUACUACUAAUUAAAUAGCUUAGUAAGGCCUUUAGACUAGCUUAAGAAGGUUAGUAAUAACUACCUUAAGCUAGAAAGUUAGUUAAACUUAGUUAUUUAGAGGAAGUAAAAAUUAUAAUAAAGUCUCUAUAAGUAAACCUAUAGAGG
rnacentral:rRNA from 1 species